rnacentral:rRNA from 1 species
AGUGAAUGCUGGCGGUAGGCCUAACACAUGCAAGUCGAACGGCAGCACAGUAAGAGCUUGCUCUUCCGGGUGGCGAGUGGCGGACGGGUGAGGAAUACAUCGGAAUCUACUUUUUCGUGGGGGAUAACGUAGGGAAACCUACGCUAAUACCGCAUACGAUCUACGGGUGAAAGCAGGGGAUCUUUGGACCUUGUGCGAUUGAAUGAGCCGGUGUCCGAGUUGCUAGUUGGCGGGGUAACGGCCUAGCAAGGGGACGAUCGCUGGCCGGGCUGAGAGGCGGGUCAGCGACUGUGGAGGUGAGAGACGGCCCAGGCUCCGACGGGAGGCAGCAGUGGGUACUGUUGGACGAUGGGCGGAAGCCUGAACCAGCGAUAGCGCCUGGGUGAAGAAGGCCUUCGGGUGGUAAAGCCCUUUUGUUGGUAAAGAAAGGCAGCAGGUUAAUACCCCGCUGUGCUAACGGUACCCAAAGAAUAGGCACCGGCAAACAUCGU